rnacentral:rRNA from 1 species
UGGGGAAUAUUGCACAAUGGGCGCAAGCCUGAUGCAGCCAUGCCGCGUGUAUGAAGAAGGCCUUCGGGUUGUAAAGUACUUUCAGUCGGGAGGAAGGUGUCAAGGUUAAUAACCUUGGCAAUUGACGUUACCGACAGAAGAAGCACCGGCUAACUCCGUGCCAGCAGCCGCGGUAAUACGGAGGGUGCAAGCGUUAAUCGGAAUUACUGGGCGUAAAGCGCACGCAGGCGGUUGAUUGAGUCAGAUGUGAAAUCCCCGGGCUUAACCCGGGAAUUGCAUCUGAUACUGGUCAGCUAGAGUCUUGUAGAGGGGGGUAGAAUUCCAUGUGUAGCGGUGAAAUGCGUAGAGAUGUGGAGGAAUACCAGUGGCGAAGGCGGCCCCCUGGACAAAGACUGACGCUCAGGUGCGAAAGCGAGGGGAGCAAACAGG